GAUGAACGCUAGCUACAGGCUUAACACAUGCAAGUCGAGGGGUAACGAGAGGAAAGCUUGCUUUCCUUGUCGACGACCGGCGCACGGGUGAGUAACGCGUAUCCAACCUGCCCCCAACUAAGGAAUAACCUUGCGAAAGUAAGACUAAUACCUUAUAAUUUCCUCAGAUGUCAUCUGACGAGGAAUAAAGAUUUAUCGGUUGUGGAUGGGGAUGCGUCUGAUUAGCUUGUUGGCGGGGUAACGGCCCACCAAGGCAAGGAUCAGUAGGGGUUCUGAGAGGAAGGGCCCCCACAUUGGAACUGAGACACGGUCCAAACUCCUACGGGAGGCAGCAGUGAGGAAUAUUGGUCAAUGGGCGAAAGCCUGAACCAGCCAAGUAGCGUGCAGGAUGACGGCCCUAUGGGUUGUAAACUGCUUUUAUACAGGAAUAAAGUUAGCCACGUGUGGUUAUUUGUAGGUACUGUAUGAAUAAGGACCGGCUAAUUCCGUGCCAGCCGCCGCGGUAA
rnacentral:rRNA from 1 species